rnacentral:rRNA from 1 species
CUACUCCUACGGGAGGCAGCAGUAGGUAAUCUUCCGCAAUGGACGAAAGUCUGAUGCAGCAACGCCGCGUGUGUGAUGAAGGCUUUCGGGUCGUAAAGCACUGUGUCUGGGAAGAAAUGCUAGUCUAGGAAAUGAGCUUAGUUGACGUACC